rnacentral:rRNA from 1 species
AUUAGAUGAGCCUAUAUUAGAUUAGCUAGUUGGUGGGGUAAUAGCCUACCAAGGUAAUGAUCUAUAACUGAUCUGAGAGGAUGAUCAGCCACACUGGAACUGAGAUACGGUCCAGACUCCUACGGGAGGCAGCAGUGGGGAAUAUUGGACAAUGGGCGAAAGCCUGAUCCAGCCAUGCCGCAUGAGUGAAGAAGGCCUUUGGGUUGUAAAGCUCUUUUAGUGAGGAAGAUAAUGACGGUACUCACAGAAGAAGUCCUGGCUAACUCCGUGCCAGCAGCCGCGGUAAUACGGAGAGGGCUAGCGUUAUUCGGAAUUAUUGGGCGUAAAGGGCGCGUAGGCUGGUUAAUAAGUUAAAAGUGAAAUCCCGAGGCUUAACCCUGGAAUUGCUUUUAAAACUAUUAAUCUAGAGAUUGAAAGAGGAUAGAGGAAUUCCUGAUGUAGAGGUAAAAUUCGUAAAUAUUAGGAGGAACACCAGUGGCGAAGGCGUCUAUCUGGUUCAAAUCUGACGCUGAAGCGCGAAGGCGUGGGGAGCAAACAGGACUAGAUACCCUGGUAGUCCACGCUGUAAACGAUGAAUGUUAAAUAUGGGGAG